AUAAUAAUAUUUUAUCACAGGAUUCCCGGGUGUUAUUGGUUGUGUAGAUGGAACAAUGAUAAAAAUUGUAUCCCCGUCAGAAAAUGAAGCAGAUUAUUUAUGCCGUAAAGGCUUUUAUGCGCUCAAUGUACAGAUGACAUGUGAUCCUCAGUUUAGAGUGUUGGAUGUCGUUGCAAAGUGGCCAGGAAGUGUGCACGAUGCUCGGAUUUUCAGGGAAUCCAACUUAUGCACACUUAUGGAAGAAGGCAUUUGGAAAUUCUGUACCAAGAUGUCCUGUAUUUUUUAAUUCUUGAUACAGUGUGUGUGAGAUAUUUCACGAAGUACAAGCAGAAAUUUCAAUGAGUAGUUAUUUUAAAUAUAUUGAUAAACAGGGCAUCUAUCGGGCUUUCUACUAGGAGAUUCUGGAUACGGCCUGAAACCAUAUCUCUUGACCCCGUAUAUAGCGGAAGAUGCUCCUGGAAACAGACGCUAUAAUGCAGCACAUUGUAGAACAAGGUUACCUAUUGCAUAAUGUUUUCUGCCUCAAAACGAAACAAACUUUGUAAAUAAAUUGAAAACUUACAAAAAUCAAUUUCACACCUGUUAUUUUCUAAAAAUCAACCACAAUGCUUGAGUAUGUCAUUAAGUUAUUGCUAACUCUAUAAGGCACAUACAUGUGGUAUUAAAUGUGCAAUCAUGUAUAGUGGAAUAUGUUAGUAAAGCGAUAUUACAUUUCACUUUAAAAAUCUUAUUUAUUGCUGCAUGUAAGUUCUUCAAUAACAUUUCAGAGUCACGAUUGAGCAAACAUUUGGAAUUUUGAAAAAGAUAUUUCAUGCCCUCCACUGUGUCCUUCGGACCAAGCCAGAAAGAGCGUGCAGAAUAGUGACAGCAUGUGCUAUUCUCCACAAUAUAGGUAUUCAACGGAGGGACAUUAUGAGAGACUCAGACUUGACGAAUGCAGUUGAUGUGGCCGUGGACGUCCACGUUAGGGUUCCAGAAGACGCUGUAGGACGCACCGUGAGGGACCACGUGAGAGAUACAUACUUCUCAUGAGUACGUUUCUAUGCAAAGUCAACAUCUUAGAAUUUUAAUUAUAAAAUUACAGUUUACAAUUUACUACUUUAUGUACCGGUACCUUAUACAUAUUACUAACAUGGUGAAUUGAUCAAUGAAUAAUUAUAAUAAUAAUGAAUUAAUGAAUGUCAGGAUAUUUCACUGACUACCAAUAAAUACAACAAUUGGUGCUAAAAUAAUCAUUGAUGAUAACAUUUAAUAGAGUUGAAAACAAUCAGAUAAAGCAAUUUACGUAUAUACAUGUAGUCACAUAUAUCCGCCAUUCAAUCAAAUACAUGUACAUGUAAACUACUUAAACUACUUAAACAUUAAACAAGCAAUACAAUGCAUCAUCUCAACUUAUAAUAAUAAUAACUUAAAAUAAUGUCAUUGUCAAAUAUAUAUAAAAGAUGAAACAAUUAUUCUUUCAUUACAACUUUCAUAUAAUUCUUACUGGUAUUACAAACUACAGUGAAUAAAUCAUAAUAGCAUAAACUUGAAUACUUGUAUUGCUAAAUUUAAAAAGUGCAAUGUAUCACAAUCAUAUCAUAUAACAUUCUUCAGUGGACAGUGACUUGAAAUGCACACAUCAUUAAGAACAAAAAUGUCUUAUUUUCAAAAAGGAAGCUUAUCAUCCAAAGCUUAGAGUGGCAUAAUAUAUUUUGAAUAGUAAAUAUUAAUAAGAGGCCCAUGUGCCACAUUGCUCACCUGUGCAAUAUAAAUAGCUAUUACUUUAAGUAUGCUUUAUGAGAUCCAAUACAAAAUACUCAACGUAAAAUUACAUGUUUAGGUCUUGUUUACAAAGCCGAUCAAAUAUUUCUUCACAAAUUUGUAUGUUAAACAUUAAGCCCCUUUCACUGUUUCAUAUGUCAGAAGAAGAUAUAAUAACAUUUUGUCUUCUAUCCUAUAAAAAAAUUCAUCACCUUUAUGACACCAUCUUAUGCAUAUUAUAUGAAAAUCAUAGUUUUCCUUCUUGGAUACUCUUUUGACACAAUAUCGUAUAUCAUAUGUUAAAAGCUGGUAUGAUAAUCAUAUGUUUAUUUCAUACAGUAUUAUAAGAUACAAUGUUUAUCAAUACAAUAAUAUAAAAUACAAUAUUGCAUCCUUUGAUUCUUACAAUAUAACAUAACUUGGGGCAGUUUACGCUUUAAAAACCGCAAAUAUGAUACAAUAUAGUAUACGAUACAAUAUCAUAUCACAAAAUACAUCAAAAUAUUUACUUUUAACAUUAGAGAUCAGGCGCUGCAUCUGAAACUACCACUGCGAUUUGUUUAUAUUAUAGUUAUAAACGCUAUACAAGAGGCCCACGGGCAACAUCGCUCACCUGAGGAACAAUAGGUAUGAUAAAAUCAGCUUGAUGGAGUCAUAAUACAAACUAUCUGGACAAUGUACAAUAAUACAUGUAGAUCCUGUAUAAAUAAAAUCCAUCCCCCCCCCUCCUGGAUAAUCUUAUGUUUAUAAUCAUUGGUCCCUUUUCUAACAGGAUGAUUUUAUAGUCAUAUCACAUGUUGAGUAUUGCAGUUAUCAAAAAGAUCCUUAACAAUUGUUGAUAUAUAUGGGAUAUAAAACUACAUCAAACUCUGAACCUCCUUGUGAGGCCGAAGAAUUGUCCUGGAGCCAAAGUCUUAACAAUUAUAAAGAAUGAUCUGGCUGAUAAGUUUCUGAGAAGAAGAUGUUUAAAGAUUUUCACAACUUUGAAUCCCCUUUGCCUAAGGAUGAUUUGUGCCAAGUUUGGUUGAAAUUGGCCCAGUAGUUCUUGAGAAGAUGUUGAAAAUGUGAAAAGUUUACGAACAGACGGACGACAGACAAAAUGUGAUCAGAAAAGCUCACUUGA